rnacentral:rRNA from 1 species
AUUGAACGCUGGCGGCAUGCUUUACACAUGCAAGUCGAACGGGCUUAGGUGCUUGCACCUAAGUUAGUGGCGAACGGGUGAGUAAUGCAUCGGAACGUACCGUGUAGUGGGGGAUAACCCGGCGAAAGUCGGAUUAAUACCGCAUACGAUCUAAGGAUGAAAGCAGGGGAUCGCAAGACCUUGCGCUAUACGAGCGGCCGAUGUCGGAUUAGCUAGUUGGUAGGGUAAAGGCCUACCAAGGCAACGAUCCGUAGCGGGUCUGAGAGGAUGACCCGCCACACUGGGACUGAGACACGGCCCAGACUCCUACGGGAGGCAGCAGUGGGGAGUUUUGGACAAUGGGCGAAAGCCUGAUUCAGCCAUGCCGCGUGAGUGAAGAAGGCCUUCGGGUUGUAAAGCUCUUUUGUCCGGGAGCAAAUCCUGUUCACUAAUACUGAGCGGGGCUGAGAGUACCGGAAGAAUAAGCACCGGCUAACUACGUGCCAGCCGCCGCCGUAA